rnacentral:snRNA from 1 species
GUGCUCACUCUGGCAGUACAAAUACAAAAAUUGGAGUGAUAUGAAGAAGAUUAGCAUGGUCCCUGCGCAAGGAUGAUGCACAAAUUUGUGAUGAAGCAUUUCAUAUUUUU